rnacentral:tRNA from 1 species
UGGGGUAUCGCCAAGCGGUAAGGCAGUAGACUCUGACUCUACCAUUCCCUAGGUUCGAAUCCUAGUACCCCAGCCA